ensembl:miRNA gga-mir-1798 gga-mir-1798
CUCAUAAUUAGUUUUAUUCAGUUAACGUGACACUUUAGAAAACCUGUAAUGCUAUAAGUGGUUUUCAGAAGUGUAGCGUUUAUGGGAUAAAGUGAG